UUAGAGUUUGAUCCUGGCUCAGGAUGAACGCUAGCUACAGGCUUAACACAUGCAAGUCGAGGGGCAGCAUGUCCAGCAAUGGAUGAUGGCGACCGGCGGAAGGGUGCGUAACGCGUGAGCAACAUGCCCUAUACAGGGAGAUACACCAGGGAAACUUGGUCUAAUAUCCCAUAGCAUUCAUUGAAGGCAUCUUUAAUGAAUUAAAGCUUCGGUGGUAUAGGAUUGGCUCGCGUGACAUUAGCCAGAUGGUGAGGUAACGGCUCACCAUAGCAAUGAUGUCUAGGGGUUUUGAGAGGAAGGCCCCCCACACUGGGACUGAGACACGGCCCAGACUCCUACGGGAGGCAGCAGUGGGGAAUAUUGCACAAUGGAGGGAACUCUGAUGCAGCGACGCCGCGUGAAUGAAGAAGGCCUUCGGGUCGUAAAAUUCUGUCCUUGGGGACGAUAAUGACGGUACCCAAGGAGGAAGCCCCGGCUAACUACGUGCCAGCAGCCGCGGUAAUACGUAGGGGGCGAGCGUUGUCCGGAAUUAUUGGGCGUAAAGGGUUCGCAGGCGGUUACUUAAGUCAGAUGUGAAAUCCCAGGGCUUAACCCUGGUAAGCAUUUGAAACUGAGUAACUUGAGUUAUGGAGAGGAAAGUGGAAUUCCUAGUGUAGCGGUGGAAUGCGUAGAUAUAUGGAAGAACACCAGUGGCGAAGGCGGCUGUCUGGUCUGCAACUGACGCUGAGGCUCGAAAGCAUGGGUAGCGAACAGGAUUAGAUACCCUGGUAGUCCAUGCCGUAAACGAUGAGUGCUAGGUGUUGGAGGGUGUCCGCCCUUCAGUGCCGGAGCUAACGCAUUAAGCACUCCGCCUGGGGAGUACGACCGCAAGGUUGAAACUCAAAGGAAUUGACGGGGGCCCGCACAAGCGGUGGAGCAUGUGGUUUAAUUCGAAGCAACGCGAAGAACCUUACCAGAGCUUGACAUCCCUCUGACCGGUCGGUAAUGCGACCUUCCCUUCGGGGCAGAGGUGACAGGUGGUGCAUGGUUGUCGUCAGCUCGUGUCGUGAGAUGUUGGGUUAAGUCCCGCAACGAGCGCAACCCUCGUCAUUAGUUGCCAUCAGGUUAAGCUGGGCACUCUAGUGAGACCGCCGGGGAUAACUCGGAGGAAGGUGGGGAGGACGUCAAAUCAUCAUGCCCCUUAUGUUCUGGGCUACACACGUGCUACAAUGGCCGGUACAGAGAGACGCAAAAUCGCGAGGUGGAGCAAAACUCUAAAACCGGUCCCAGUUCGGAUUGCAGGCUGAAACCCGCCUGCAUGAAGUCGGAGUUGCUAGUAAUCGCGAAUCAGAAUGUUGCGGUGAAUGCGUUCCCGGGUCUUGUACUCACCGCCCG
rnacentral:rRNA from 1 species